AGGCCAGAAAUCCAAAAUCAAGUGUUGGCUUCUGCCAAAGCCUCUAAGGAAGAAUUCUUUGCCUUUUCUAGCUUCUGGUGGCUAACAGUUUUCCUUGGCAUAUCACAGUGUAACUCCAGUUGCUUCCUCCGUCUUUGCAGUCCUUCUUUCUUGUAUGUUAACUUGGAGGAAGAUCUUAAUUUGCUCAUUUUCAUCUUCUUGGGAGAUUUGUUUACAGUGGGCCUUCGCUAUCUAGUAAGUAUGGAUAAAAAUGGGCUGGGUUUGAAACUGGUAUUACUCUGAUAGUGUUUUUUGGAUAGAGAAUCUCCUCAGCUGAUUUCAGUGUUGGUCAUACUUCAUGUUGGUUAGGUAUCUGACUACAUGGAAAGUUGCCUCUUUACCAGAUAUUUUAUAUAUGACAUUUCAAUUAUCUCUUGAAAACUACAAAUAUAUAUUUAUAUAUAAUUAUAAUCAUAUUACUGAUGAAAAUUAUGAGAUUGAAUGGCAGUAAUAUACUCAAGGACACAUUAGGAAAUUAUGAGUUAAAAUAUGUGCUCAACUCUCAUUUUUUUAGACUCCUUUGAUGUCUCUCCUUAAAUGCAUUUUCAAACUUUAAAGUUACAAAUUCACAUAUUUUAUAUGACAUUGCCAAUUUAAAAAUAAGUGAAAGAGCCCUGCUCUAAUUUAAACUACUUCCAAAUUUCUCCCUAUGAGCAUUCUUCCCUUAUCCAUAUUCAAGUAAAAUUAUUUACAUUUAUAAUCUUUUUAAAAGUUAUUCCUGUUGUUUUACAUGUUAGUUAAUGUAUUUUCUUUUUCUUUGAGGAAUUUUGGGGUGAGUCAUAGGGAGUCUUUCGAGGACAACUUGCUUAGCAAAUAGACUUUCUUCCUUGUUUGCUUUUUAGCAAGUAUUUUAGAUCAGUGAAAUAAGGGCAAGAUAGGCAAGACAAGAAAAAAGAUCCAAUUAGAGAAGUUCACUUACCAUUUGUCGGCAAUAGAUUUGACUAUGGUUGCCAUUUUGAAAGUUUAUUCCUAAGAGGAUACUUAUUUCUCGUUAAGCUAAUACAGUUUUAUUUGCUUUAAAACCUUGAAAAUCACACUUAGGUGUUUGUAAUGGGAUAAGUUCUAACCUUGUAUCUCAGGAAUUAUUCUUUAAAAACAGACAGUAAUUCCAGAUUCUUCUACUAGAUCCAAAUCAAUGAUGAAGGCUAUACCUCUGAGGUUAUGGGAUAGGCAACGGAAGUCUUAAAAAAAAAAAAUGGGAAUAUCUAUCUUUUGACCCUAUUUAACAAAGUGAUGAAAAUAUAGUAAUUAAUUGAUAAAUUUUAAGAAAAAAACUAAAAUAUAGUGUAUAGUUCAAUAUAGUACCUUCAGAUAAAUAUGCUCACAGUUCUGAGAUUUUCUAAUCUUCAUUUGUCUUCUAGCAUAAGGCUAUGAAUAAUUUAUUGUCUGUUUAAUUCUUAGAAAUUACUAUAUUAUCCAUAUAAUACUAAAUUCUAAAGAAAAUUUAGUUAUUCAAAAUAAGACUGAACCUUGACUAGCAUUAGCCACUAAGUGGUAAGCAGUAUUCUGCACAUGCUCUUACCUAUGGUUGCUUUUUAGUAUGAUUUCUUAUUUUGAAAAUUUUUAGUAGUUCCUAGGUUUUAAAUCUAAUUCUUUCAUAAGUUUCUUGUACUUUAUAAUUAUAAUCACUUGUCGUUCAGAAGAACAAUACAAAAGGUGGCUAUUAUAUGCUAGUCUCUCAGAUGGAUUAUAUUCUAUCAUGCUGCUGUAGUCCAAACACAAAUACACUGUCUUACUAGUUGAUAUAGAUUGAAAUCUAAGUAAUCUAUAUUGUCAUUCUGGGUGUUGGGGUUUUCCCUGAAAAUCAUGCUUUUCAAUUUCCUUUGAGUCUCUUUGGCUCAAUCUCCUGCUGUUGUAAUUAUUAGAAGUCCAUAGAGACUGGAAUUUCUCAAAAUGUAGACAGUUUUAUUCAGAACAUGAGCCCUCAGGCAUUUCUUUUCAUUUUUACUUAGCUUGGGAUAUAUAGAUACACCUUUGACUUUAAUGUGCUUAUUACAGAGCCUGAACGCAGAGUAUGCUUCCUUGUGCUUUGAGAUACAGGUGGCAAGAAUUCUUGAUCUGCCAAGGAAUUUUAUUUGCUUCUAAAUUCUGACUGUCCCAUUUUAUGACUUUGUUAUAUUAAGAUUUUAAUAGUGCAAAUAAGGGUCAAGGCUUCUUUGUUGAUGAAAUAUUAAAUCACUAUUUAGUCUUCUUACAUCUGACAGUUAUUUUCUACUUCAUCUGUAAAAGCGGAAGUGUGUGAGCUUUCAUCCAGUGGAGUAGUUGGAAUAUAUUCAUAUGAGUUCAGAUCCAUUGAAACCUGCCAACCAUAUAAAAACAGUUGCCAGUGUGGGAGAAGUCUUCCUUGUGUUGUGAUAGAAAGGGUUUCACUGUUUAGAUGUGAACUUAAAAUAAAAAUGUAUUCCUCCAUUUAAAAAAAAAAAAAGCCUGUGCCUACUUGUCCCAGAUGGCUUUCUACAGGAAUGAGGAACAAAGUGGAUUUAUUUGAUAACAUCUUAAAUCUUAAAUUAUUUUUCAAUUUAUAUGUGUAUAUGCUUACAUAUAUUUUACAUAUAUGUGUGUGUGUGUGUGUGUGUGUGCGAGAGAAAAAGUCUUGAUUUAAUGUCAGCUUUAAAUUGGACACAGAAUUUAGUUGGACUUGUUUUUGACCAACUAGGCAAGCAAGCAAAGACUUUUUUUUUUUUUUAAAUGUAUGCAUUUGAUUUUUGAACCAUGACUGAUACUUUGGCAUUUGGAUUUAAAGAGUAUCCAAAAUGAUCUGAAUUUUUAUCAGUGAGUGUUUCUUGACACUAGUAUGGUUUUUCUCUGCUACCUGGGUUCUUUUGUUAGUGAUGGUGUUUUCAUUCUAAUCACCUGUAGCAGCAAAGAUGGAUUCAGAGUUAAAAAAACAUCAAAAUCCUGGCUCAGAGCUCCUCUGGCCAAGGGCCUGGGAGUUGAAGGAGCCAAGAUUUCUCAGGCAUGACUGGAAAGAGAAGUCCCAAUGGUGCUGGAAUGGUGCUACAGUGCCAGAAGAUGGCUCAUGAGUGAGGUGUAGAAGAAUGAUAGGGAAGACAUCUAUCAUUUGCUUGAAAGUAUUCAAGCCAGAUCCUGGGGAGAAUCAUGAGAACUCUUGAUUCCUGAACAGUUUCAGAAGCAGACUCCGAAUGAGCUGAAAUGCACAUGCUUCAGCAUAGUUUGGUAAAAAACUGGUCUUCUUCUUCUCCAUAAACCCCUCUUCCUUUUUUCUUUCUGAGGCCAGUUGUUGCUAUUAUUUCAUCCUUGUUCUAUGCUCUAGGAGUUAUGGUACUUGUACUAGAAAGCCCUCUAAAGUCUCAAAACCCAACCCAAAAGGAAAGGGGUGGGUAUCUUUCCACCGAUAAAGAAGGGACACCAAAACUUGGGUAAGAGUGAUUGAAAGAUGUGGAUUGUUUUACACACUUACUUUGGAAGGCAGGAGAAUACUUAGGAAUUCUUAACAUCCCUAUUGUGCAUGAAUUGCAAGAGUGAACUGUAGAGGGCUUCCUGGAAAUCUGAACAUGACUCAUGAUGGAUAGUCUCUCUCGCUUAACCUUUGAUCAUGCAGAUAUU